rnacentral:rRNA from 1 species
UUAAGCGACUAAGCGUACACGGUGGAUGCCCUGGCAGUCAGAGGCGAUGAAGGACGUGCUAAUCUGCGAUAAGCGUCGGUGAGGUGAUAUGAACCGUUAUAACCGGCGAUUUCCGAAUGGGGAAACCCAGUGUGUUUCGACACACUAUCAUUAACUGAAUCCAUAGGUUAAUGAGGCGAACCGGGGGAACUGAAACAUCUAAGUACCCCGAGGAAAAGAAAUCAACCGAGAUUCCCCCAGUAGCGGCGAGCGAACGGGGAGGAGCCCAGAGCCUGAAUCAGUGUGUGUGUUAGUGGAAGCGUCUGGAAAGGCGUGCGAUACAGGGUGACAGCCCCGUACACAAAAAUGCACAUAUUGUGAGCUCGAUGAGUAGGGCGGGACACGUGGUAUCCUGUCUGAAUAUGGGGGGACCAUCCUCCAAGGCUAAAUACUCCUGACUGACCGAUAGUGAACCAGUACCGUGAGGGAAAGGCGAAAAGAACCCCGGCGAGGGGAGUGAAAAAGAACCUGAAACCGUGUACGUACAAGCAGUGGGAGCCUCUUAAUGGGGUGACUGCGUACCUUUUGUAUAAUGGGUCAGCGACUUAUAUUCUGUAGCAAGGUUAACCGAAUAGGGGAGCCGAAGGGAAACCGAGUCUUAACUGGGCGUUAAGUUGCAGGGUAUAGACCCGAAACCCGGUGAUCUAGCCAUGGGCAGGUUGAAGGUUGGGUAACACUAACUGGAGGACCGAACCGACUAAUGUUGAAAAAUUAGCGGAUGACUUGUGGCUGGGGGUGAAAGGCCAAUCAAACCGGGAGAUAGCUGGUUCUCCCCGAAAGCUAUUUAGGUAGCGCCUCGUGAAUUCAUCUCCGGGGGUAGAGCACUGUUUCGGCAAGGGGGUCAUCCCGACUUACCAACCCGAUGCAAACUGCGAAUACCGGAGAAUGUUAUCACGGGAGACACACGGCGGGUGCUAACGUCCGUCGUGAAGAGGGAAACAACCCAGACCGCCAGCUAAGGUCCCAAAGUCAUGGUUAAGUGGGAAACGAUGUGGGAAGGCCCAGACAGCCAGGAUGUUGGCUUAGAAGCAGCCAUCAUUUAAAGAAAGCGUAAUAGCUCACUGGUCGAGUCGGCCUGCGCGGAAGAUGUAACGGGGCUAAACCAUGCACCGAAGCUGCGGCAGCGACACUAUGUGUUGUUGGGUAGGGGAGCGUUCUGUAAGCCUGUGAAGGUGGCCUGUGAGGGUUGCUGGAGGUAUCAGAAGUGCGAAUGCUGACAUAAGUAACGAUAAAGCGGGUGAAAAGCCCGCUCGCCGGAAGACCAAGGGUUCCUGUCCAACGUUAAUCGGGGCAGGGUGAGUCGACCCCUAAGGCGAGGCCGAAAGGCGUAGUCGAUGGGAAACAGGUUAAUAUUCCUGUACUUGGUGUUACUGCGAAGGGGGGACGGAGAAGGCUAUGUUGGCCGGGCGACGGUUGUCCCGGUUUAAGCGUGUAGGCUGGUUUUCCAGGCAAAUCCGGAAAACCAAGGCUGAGGCGUGAUGACGAGGCACUACGGUGCUGAAGCGACAAAUGCCCUGCUUCCAGGAAAAGCCUCUAAGCAUCAGGUAACAUCAAAUCGUACCCCAAACCGACACAGGUGGUCAGGUAGAGAAUACCAAGGCGCUUGAGAGAACUCGGGUGAAGGAACUAGGCAAAAUAGUGCCGUAACUUCGGGAGAAGGCACGCUGAUAUGUAGGUGAAGCGACUUGCUCGUGGAGCUGAAAUCAGUCGAAGAUACCAGCUGGCUGCAACUGUUUAUUAAAAACACAGCACUGUGCAAACACGAAAGUGGACGUAUACGGUGUGACGCCUGCCCGGUGCCGGAAGGUUAAUUGAUGGGGUUAGCGGCAACGCGAAGCUCUUGAUCGAAGCCCCGGUAAACGGCGGCCGUAACUAUAACGGUCCUAAGGUAGCGAAAUUCCUUGUCGGGUAAGUUCCGACCUGCACGAAUGGCGUAAUGAUGGCCAGGCUGUCUCCACCCGAGACUCAGUGAAAUUGAACUCGCUGUGAAGAUGCAGUGUACCCGCGGCAAGACGGAAAGACCCCGUGAACCUUUACUAUAGCUUGACACUGAACAUUGAGCCUUGAUGUGUAGGAUAGGUGGGAGGCUUUGAAGUGUGGACGCCAGUCUGCAUGGAGCCGACCUUGAAAUACCACCCUUUAAUGUUUGAUGUUCUAACGUUGGCCCGUAAUCCGGGUUGCGGACAGUGUCUGGUGGGUAGUUUGACUGGGGCGGUCUCCUCCUAAAGAGUAACGGAGGAGCACGAAGGUUGGCUAAUCCUGGUCGGACAUCAGGAGGUUAGUGCAAUGGCAUAAGCCAGCUUGACUGCGAGCGUGACGGCGCGAGCAGGUGCGAAAGCAGGUCAUAGUGAUCCGGUGGUUCUGAAUGGAAGGGCCAUCGCUCAACGGAUAAAAGGUACUCCGGGGAUAACAGGCUGAUACCGCCCAAGAGUUCAUAUCGACGGCGGUGUUUGGCACCUCGAUGUCGGCUCAUCACAUCCUGGGGCUGAAGUAGGUCCCAAGGGUAUGGCUGUUCGCCAUUUAAAGUGGUACGCGAGCUGGGUUUAGAACGUCGUGAGACAGUUCGGUCCCUAUCUGCCGUGGGCGCUGGAGAACUGAGGGGGGCUGCUCCUAGUACGAGAGGACCGGAGUGGACGCAUCACUGGUGUUCGGGUUGUCAUGCCAAUGGCACUGCCCGGUAGCUAAAUGCGGAAGAGAUAAGUGCUGAAAGCAUCUAAGCACGAAACUUGCCCCGAGAUGAGUUCUCCCUGACUCCUUGAGGGUCCUGAAGGAACGUUGAAGACGACGACGUUGAUAGGCCGGGUGUGUAAGCGCAGCGAUGCGUUGAGCUAACCGGUACUAAUGAACCGUGAGGCUUAACCUU